rnacentral:lncRNA from 10 species
GGGAGUAGCUACAAAGAUCUUUCUGGAUAACAUGUAGGUGCAGGCAGAGAGGAAGGAAGAGGAAACUGGAGGCAUCAUACAUGACAACAGUCUUAGGUGGAGCCAUUGCACCACUACUGAAUCGGAGUAUUCUGGAGGAAGUAUAGACUUUGGAGAGAAAUUAUGACUUUAGCUCAAUUACUGAGUUUAAGGGGUCUGGAGACAUUCAAGUAUAGAUGCCCAGGGAACAAAUGGCACUACAGAGACUUGCAAGGGAUCAAAUUUCUGUGUAUGGGAUCACACAGGGAAUCCAAGUAGAGUGAGAUGAAAGAGAAUAAGGGUAGAACUCUGAAGAACAUCAAUAUCUAAGGGAUGAGAAAAGGAAAUAAAGUAGUCUGAAGAGCAAACUGAGAGUGCAGCCAGACAGCAGUAAGAAAACUGGGAAGGCCUGUCUUCAUGGACGUCAAGGGAAAGUGGCAUGAAGUGGACAUCGCCAGUAUCUAAUGCUGCACAGAACUCAAAAGAGGAGGACUGAAAAGGACUUAUUGGAUUUAAUGGUGGGAAGGUGGUUGCGGAGAAAAGGACCAGUGGUUGAUAGGGGCAGACUCCAGUAAGAAAGGCAGAAGAGAUUGAACUGUGUAUAAUUACAGAAACGACAAAGCAAUACAGAAAGAGACGAUGAUACAGAAGAGAAUACAUAGACGAUGGGCAAGACCACUGAGGAGGCAGAAGCCCUUGGGAGCCAGAUGUGAGUAGAAGAAUAAGGAGGAGGAGG